rnacentral:rRNA from 1 species
UCCGUAGGGUGCAAGCGUUAAUCGGAGUUACUGGGCGUAAAGCGUGCGCAGGCGGUUAUGCAAGACAGAGGUGAAAUCCCCGGGCUCAACCUGGGAACUGCCUUUGUGACUGCAUAGCUAGAGUACGGUAGAGGGGGAUGGAAUUCCGCGUGUAGCAGUGAAAUGCGUAGAUAUGCGGAGGAACACCGAUGGCGAAGGCAAUCCCCUGGACCUGUACUGACGCUCAUGCACGAAAGCGUGGGGAGCAAACAGG